rnacentral:rRNA from 1 species
ACUCAAAGGAAUUGACGGGGGCCCGCACAAGCGGUGGAGCAUGUUGUUUAAUACGUCACUAACCGUAGAACCUUACCAGGGCUUGACAUCGGCUGAUCGCCGUAGAAAUACGGUUUUCCCCGCAAGGGGACAGCUAGACAGGUGUUGCAUGGCUGUCGUCAGCUCGUGUCGUGAGAUGUUGGGUUAAGUCCCGCAACGAGCGCAACCCUCACCCCAUGUUGCCAGCGGAUCAAGCCGGGCACUCUUGGGGAACUGCCUGGGUAACCGGGAGGAAGGUGGGGAUGACGUCAAGUCAGCAUGGCCCUUACGCCCUGGGCUACAAACAUGCUACAAUGGACGGUAGACAAAGGGAACCGAGACCGCGAGGUGGAGGCAAUCUCAAAAAUCCGUUCCCAGUUCAGAUCGCAGGCUGCAACUCGCCUGCGUGAAGUCGGAAUCGCUAGUAACCGCCGAUCAGCGAAGCGGCGGUGAAUACGUUCCCGGGCCUUGUACACACCGCCCGU